rnacentral:tRNA from 1 species
AAGUUUAGGUUACACACUAACCCGGGGGCCUUCAAAGCCCUCACCAGAGCCCCACACCUCUAACUUCU